CAAUCCUGCUUACUAGCCCUGCAAUUGUACUUGUACGUACCCGUUAAGAUAGGAUGAAACUCGUCACGACGGGCAGCGGGGUACUUUACCCCCUCUUCGGUUUGCCACGGCACUCCACAGUGUUCAGCCAACCUUAGAAAAGGUACACCUAAUGUUAAUGUGUACACAUUGUUUACGUCGAACCGAUUUCAACUGGCCAGGCAGAGCUAAGUUAUGGGCUAGGCAUCAGACCAGCGAUAUCGUCGUUCUCGUGAAUUCGACAUACAGUCUGUUCACCAUAAGGCCUCAAAUACAAUCGAAAGCGAGAUCCUUUAAUAGCCGAGACAGUGGCAAGCGACGUACUCUGCCGAGCUUCCGCUUCCCAACUUCCUUCAACAUCGUCGUAGUUUGGAUUGUUUUGGAAACGAGGAAAAAGGCUUUUACUAGGCUACAAAGGGCAAAAACGAGCGGAUAAAUCAUUGUGAAAUAUAAGUGCAUGCUCUAUUUGGCCUAUGGUACGCUGCGCCGUAUGAUACGUUUGUUCCUUUUGAGAAACCCGCACCCAGGCUCAUAUCGACAACGUAUAUGGCUAUCAGCAACGCUGGAACAAUGCUCGUUCAGGCAAAAUAUUGUACGUAGCAUGUCACUAGUUAAUCAAUUGCCUAUACUGAUCGUAUAUUAUCGAGCGCAAGUUCAGCGAUUUAUGCUGCCUGGUCGGACAUUUGUUAGCGCUUCUUUCAUAGACAAUUUUUUGAAAUACUUGUUUUACCUAACAGCAUAACAGUACUGAAAAGCGUGACAAAACAACAUAGAAAAUCGCUAAAUCGGAAAGCAAAUUAGUCACUAUGCUUCACCGGA